rnacentral:rRNA from 1 species
UACAGAGGGGGCAAGCGUUAUUCGGAAUUAUUGGGCGUAAAGGGCGCGUAGGCGGCCUUGCAAGUGGGAGGUGAAAUCCCUCGGCUUAACCGAGGAACUGCCUCCCAAACUGCUUGGCUUGAGACCAGGAGAGGUGAGUGGAAUUCCCAGUGUAGCGGUGAAAUGCGUAGAUAUUGGGAGGAACACCAGUGGCGAAGGCGGCUCACUGGACUGGUACUGACGCUGAGGCGCGAAAGCGUGGGGAGCAAACGGG